rnacentral:rRNA from 1 species
CUGGGAAACUGCCUGAUGGAGGGGGAUAACUACUGGAAACGGUAGCUAAUACCGCAUAACGUCGCAAGACCAAAGAGGGGGACCCUCGGGCCUCUUGCCAUCGGAUGUGCCCAGAUGGGAUUAGCUAGUAGGUGGGGUAACGGCUCACCUAGGCGACGAUCCCUAGCUGGUCUGAGAGGAUGACCAGCCACACUGGAACUGAGACACGGUCCAGACUCCUACGGGAGGCAGCAGUGGGGAAUAUUGCACAAUGGGCGCAAGCCUGAUGCAGCCAUGCCGCGUGUAUGAAGAAGGCCUUCGGGUUGUAAAGUACUUUCAGCGGGGAGGAAGGGAGUAAA